rnacentral:lncRNA from 1 species
GUUUUAGUAUUUGAAUUUUAUCUUAAAAGAAUUAGAAAGUCUGAGUAUGGAACAGAAGACCUGGCAUUGAGCCAAGACUAAGCAAUGGAGUUCAAGUAAAGAAGACAUAUUCUGAAGGAAGACAGCCACACCUCACUCUGCAGCAUGGUAUAAGUUUGCUAGGUAAGAACAGCAAGGUAGGAACAGGGUUCUGCGUAGAGAACGGAGCUUGUUUUAUACGUGGAGCCAGGUGUGUGGGUGGUCAGUACAUUCGCCAUGCACUCUGGAGAGAAGGGUACUGGGAGGAUAAAAGCCAACAGGACUGAAAGGCUGGGGAAGCUGUGCAAGGCUGGUGGUGGGUUUGUUAAGCACAGAAGUAAUAUGAGUUUUAGUGCUCUCAUCUAGAAUGAGCCUAACACCAAUCAAGCCGGAGGUAGUGAGACACGUGAUCAGUGGAGUGAUGAUCCUUGUAGAAUUUGACAGUUAGGGUCAGAGAUCUUUCAUAUGCAAAUAUGACCAGUUCCUUACACACACAGCUCAACCAGAUGUUUAAUAUUUAAUCACUACAUUCAAAUGCAAGGGGCAUUACUUCAAAGCUUCAAAGCAUAAGUACUUUUCUCCUUAGGAACUAUAAUUCAUUCAUUGUCCCAAAAGUUAAAGGUGUCAAGAUGGCUAUCAUUAUCCAUACAUGACGAUCACUUCAGUUAAACUUACUUCCACUGUAAAAUCUACCAGUCAAGUUACAAAGUUGUAUUGUGUAUACCUAAGCCACACACAAGACCUAAACAAAAAACGUUCUCUGGAUUUCAUUUGUUUAGUUCACUUUUUCUGUCUAUAAAUUUUGAAAUUGUGAAGCAUGAUUUUGAAAAUACAAAGUAUUAUUUUAAAAGUGAUCAUCCUAAAGCUAGUCAGAUAUCAAUUACAAUCUGCAUGGACCAUGGCAUUGAACCUAAUGAUCCUCCCCUCAGGAUGCAGGAGCAAUACAUUUGCAGAAAUGAAUUAGACACCAAGGGGCAUCAAACCGCCAGAUGGAUAAUUUGAUUCAUAUUAACUGACUAUUUCUGGUGUUUCAAAAAAUAACUGUCCUACCCAGAGGAGGACAAAGUUCUUUUUGUGAUUAACCUAUCGCUAUUCUACUGAAAUUACAGCAGGUGGAGAAAGAAGAUAUGCUAUCCGAAUCAAUGCACUAUCAUCUCCUGACUUAUGCUUGUUCAAUUUAUCAGUAAUGUGUGUCAGUUAAUAAAUAGCAUGCACCUAACUUUAUAGAUUAGAUAAUAAUAAGUUGAACACUUUGUAGAAAGCUCCCAAUCAGAUGAGAGCAUAUUGUGAGACCUGGAGGGUAAUGCCUGAUAGGUUCUGGCUCUUUCUUAGAAGCCAGAAAUUCCUAAUUGUAUCUGUGACCUCAAGCCUCUUGUACUAUCUUGUCAUGUGGAAUCCUGUGAUGCCCAUGCAGAUCUCACGCUAUUUUAAAGCAUUCAAACCUUGUAAAUUUGACUUUCUACUUGCCUCCCAUCUGAAUGCCCUUAUGAGGGGUCUCUUUCUUCAGUCCCAUGCCUUAAGGAAUGUACUUUGAUCAACUGUGUGGCCUUGUGGCAUGGCCUGCAAGAGAAUGUACAUCUGGCUCUCUGACUGAAAAAGCAUACUUAACACCACAAACCUCUUCACGAAAGUGCAUUUGCACAGGAAUGCUCUCAGCAAUAGUGACACUUGGCAAACAGAUGGCUCCUCCUCUGGUAAGGUUUUGGGAAGGAUUUGAUCAGGAACACCAGUGGCACCAGCAGGAGACUUGUCUCCUCUAUCAACAGUUAUCAGAGCUUAAUGAUGUCCCAUCCGCUUUCGACCAGCAAGAAUGACACGACCACCAGUUCUUCUAACAGCAGUUUAUUCAGCAAGCUUCAGUCUUCAUCUCUCUCUCUCUUCAUCUCUCUCCCUUCAUCUCUCUCUCUCUCUCAAACCCUGGGCCUCUCACUCUUAUAUACUCUCAGCCCCCAUCCACUCAUGGCAGGCCAUGUCACCUCACAAGGCACGCGGCUUCAGUUAAUCAGGGCAGCAGGGGCACGUCUCCACCAAAUAUGGACUUGUUUACACCACCAGCUCUGCAUCCCGCAGGUGCCAUCUUUCAGGUGCGGCUCGGGCAGCCCACAGCCUCCCCCAUAAUGACACAUAACUCACUCAGGUUCUGUGUCCUCACAGUUGUCACCACAGACCUUCUGAGACUGGCAUUCCUUUGACUAUAUAUUCCCAUUGGAAUAUGACAAGAACUCUAUGCCAUCCCCAUAGAACAACAGAUUUCUAACUGUAUUUGCCGAACUCAGUCAAACAAUGGUUACUGGCUGUUCCUUAUGCUUUGACUGCUUCUUGGAGACACUCAGAGCAACACAUUCUGCAAAUAUCCAGGUCCUGAUGAUGUUGUCUCACUGUUUUUUUCCCUUGGGGUAAACAGACCCAGGGAGUUCUGUCAUGUUCUAAGCGAUAUGACUCACAUGUGUCUUUGGAAACACCUUGCUAGACAUCGUCUGGUGUAAAAUGACCUUCUGAGAACGAAAUGCAGACUGUGCACAAGAGAUAAAAUAAAUAUGACCAAUCCCAAUUAAAGCACACGUCCCCAGCUCAUCUCUGAGCUAAUGUGUUCCUUAACAAGUAUUUCAUUGACUGGGCUUCACCGAAGCUUGGCAUCACAUUCACAGCAGCUGCUCAUCUGACUAGUCAAUGCCUUUCUUUUAAAGGCUCAGUGUGAGAGAGCACAUCCUGAGAGAUUUGCACCAUCAUAGGGCACCUGGCUCCUAUGGGAGACCACAUCCUGAGUCAUAGCUGGGAUCUUCAUUUGAGAACAUAGCUACUUUUCAAGUGAUAACUAAGUUGUUUUCUAGAAGAGUUGGUUAUUCUCAGAAGUUUUAUG